UUCCAUACUGGUGGCUAGAGCUGAGGCUAACCAUGCCUCCAGGUUCUUUAAGUAUACUUGGAUUGCAUUAUUCAAUGAGUGGAAAAAAUAUGGUUCUGGUGCCACUUUCAUGGCUAGGAUGACUGCAUCCCUCUCAGGCCACAGUUAACACAGUCAGAAGCCUUCCUGAACUCUGUGGCCAUCACCCUCCACAAAAACAUGACGUUAAAAUUGUUUCUUUGAAUUCAAAUGGAGUCAAUACUUCCUAGGAGACAGAUGGGCUUUUCUUUUCUACACUGAAAAAGAAUCAGUGUCUGGAGUUGUGGGUUUAAAGUUUCCAUUCAACUACAGGACAACACCAGGAAAAAUCAGCAGAGAUCGGCGAAGGAUUUGGGUGUUCUUCUGAAUAUCUUCCAGCAAGCCUCACCAGCCUGCUUCAGACUGAUUCUGAUCUUGCACCAGCAAAAAAUAAAUGGGCAAAAGGACUGCAUGCAUCAUAUUUCAAUGAAAGAAGAGAUGUGAUCCUGAGAACCAAGAGUCACGAGCAACUCUGCUUAAGUUCUAGACAUUUAGCAUUUCUCAGGGUUUCCUCCUUUGUAACAGCAUGUGAGAUCUGUAUGCCUGUCUGGGAUCAGCGCGGGAUCCAAGGGCUAUAAAAUCAUGUACUAGAUUAGGAAACAAGGAAGACAACUGCACAUUCUAGUCAUCCCCAGUGUGGGAGGGUGCGAUGGUGCUACAAGCUGCUGCUUAUCAUGUUGCUGCUGAAGGCAGCCAUGUAGGCAGAACCCACAGCCUUCACAGAACUACCCCAGGACUGCUCCAGAUCCACUAGGCUGGGAAUAACAAAGCUGCUAAGCUGCCUCCAACUUACUUGAGAAAGUUAAGCUUCAGGAGAAGACAAACUGUGUUGCCUGUCACACAUCUGCCCCACACCUUACAGAUGUAGGGCAGAUGUGCACCCACAGGCACCCACAUGGUGCACCCACAUGGUGCACCCACACACACCACACUUCAUGGUUGGAUUCUAACACAUGCUCUGGAGUUUCCAUCUCGGGGAGACAAGACUAAGGGCUGGGAAGAACCUAAAUCUUGUCUGGUUGUGGAGUCAGGAUAGAUGAAAAGUGAACAAUUUCAUAUGAACACCUUAAGGAUCCAAAUAUUAUUCAUGAUAUUUUUUGUUAAAAUAACCAUCCCCAUGAAACCUGAACACAUUACCAAUACUCAGGAAUUCACCACAGACCUAUUAGAUACAAAAAGCUACAGGCUCCGUUGUUAGAUGAAGAAGCUGAUGAGGAUGUGGACUAAGUGACUUGCUCCCUGUCAACAGGAUGCACAUGGCAGAGUCACAGGUGGAUGCCAAGAAACCCACAAACCCCAGCCCAGCUGAAGCACUGUGGUCUCUGUCUUUAAAAAAAAACCACAUGAGAGCUCUGAGAACCCACAAAACCUGUUGAUUUCAGAUUUCAUCCAGAGGUGAGAGCAUUUGGCACUUGUUAGGUGUGUCAGCAUAAAAGGAAGGAGCCUGUGUAUCUUUUCAAGCUCCAGAGACUGUGGCUGCUUUCAACAAGAAAUUAGUAGGUUGUCUCUGGGUUUUGACAUGUCAGAUGCAGAGACACUGACAGCUAAUGAAGCUCUGAGACAAUUACAGUGAAUCUCCCAUGAUGAAGCGAAAUCCACCCCUGCAUUGCUGGGCACCAGUGUACUGGAAGUUGGACUGUUCAUAGCAUAUUCCCUUUUGUGCUGCUACAAACACCGAUCUGACAGUGCAAAUAAAGAGGAAAGAGGAUGAAAAUUGAAUGCUCGUUUCUAAGACAGACUAUGUCAGAGACGCUGUACACAGUCAAUCAAUGGAAGAGUGUUUCUUGUGUGGGCAAAUACGUGAUAAGCCAAAGUUUCAAACUAACAGGACUGUAAAUAUAAAUAUUUACUGCCAUGCCUGAAGUAACUUGAUAUUUCAGCUCUCAGAAAGUGGUUCUGGAUUCACAAUGACUUCUGCUCUUACAUGCCUUUGAAUGUGGAUCUAGGUUACUUUUGAGUUAAUUUUGUUACAUGAACAAAAGUAAUUUAAUUUCAAUCAAUACUCUGCCACUGUACCUUUUGUGUGUGUGUGUAGGCUAUGUGUUUUCUUUAUUAAUCCCAAUUAGAAUUGUAAACAUGGACUGUACCAAAACCACUCUUCUUUGCAUCCAUAAAAUUGCUCUUCUAUUUCUAGGAAGUUUAAUACAGGCAUGGACAGCAGAUAACAUCACUUGCUCUGUGAGGGUGUAGCACAGCCAGUGUAGGCAAUGCUGGCAGGAGAUACCAUGCAGUUCCUACUCAGAGACAAGAUAAUACAUUUCUUGUGGACGGCCAAAUAUAAAUAUACAUAUGAAAUAUAAAGCAGGAUGGUCCUACACUAUAGCCACAAAAGUAAUUUUAAAAGCCAUGGGUAAAUGUAUGUUACUGCACCAUCUCUAUUUUGCAAGUUAUUACAGUAAGUUAAUAAUUACAAUCAUUUCAGUCAGCACUCCCUCUAUGGAAGUAGUUUCUGGAGAUCACAACCUGAAAGCAUGUUUAUAUCUCAGGAAAAAACACCAUGCUUGCAGGUUUUUGAGACUUUAAAAAACCCUCAAAACAAACAAACCCCCUCCCCCCCCCCCCCCAAUAUAAAAACUAUCUUAAACAAUACUAUUUGUUGACUUGAUUAAACCAAGUUUUUAAAAUGGAUUUCUCAUUUUUUUCUAUUAACUUUGAAAUACUAAAUUUAAAGAAUUAAUUUGCUUAUUCCUAAUCCCAACACAUACAAUGGAAAGCUCUGAAGUAGUUCAAAAUUGCAGGUGUGAUUUUCAUGCGUCUCCCACUCACCCAUGUGUUCAUACACUUCAAAUGUACUGUUAGAGCUGUGUUUAAAACCUUGAAAUCUGGAGGGGAAGGGAUCCCUACAGACCUGGCCCCAUGUAUGGCAUCAGGAUCAGCACUGCAGAUUCUCACAUCUCCAAAGGAACAUGAACUAAUCCACACAGUAAGACAGGAUUUACAAGACAGACUGUAACAGCUCCUAAGAUAGCUGUUACUGCCUCUGUGUUGUUAAUGUGUUUGCAAGAUUAGUAUUAAUUACCCAAUAAGGGAUAUAUCUGUUUUGAGAGCUUGUAAUAAGUCCUUACUUAAUAUUAAGCAAAUCACAUGCAAAUGAAAUAACAUAUUGUAUAAGCAAGAAAGUAUUUAAUUAUUUGUAUGUAUUCUAGGGGUUUAUAAUAAAUAAAUCUGUCUUUGCAGGAUCUAUUAUACAUAUAUAUUUAUAUACCUAUGAACAGUGACUGUAUAAAGGAUAUAUUCAAUACAGACAUUCAAGCUUACAUAAGCAAUGGAAAGGUGAUAUGAACUAAUGAUUACCAAUACAUGCAAAAUUAAGAUACCUUUGAUUGUAGCUGUUUAUCCUUUACACAAAGAAUGGUGAGUACCUGCUUGCCCACCCACCCCUCACUUCCACCAACUUUAUCGUUCUUGGCUUAGGAUCGCGUUCUGAACCUCUUAAUACAUGAUAAUUGCAACAUUUUUCUUAGGUAAACAAGAGAGAAAAAAAAUAACCGAUAGAAGAAAUCCAGUGUAAAGGAGCAUCAUUUCACUGCAGCCCACGAAGCAAUCCUGACUUUUACCAGCUGGGACCCCAGCUAGAGACUCUGACCCCCCAGUCAGGCACCUGAUAACAAACUGCCAAUCCACCGACCAGCAGGAAAGACGCUGCUUCUCCUCCUACCACUGAUCACAUUCCCCAGCUCCUCUCCAGCAGCGGGAGGGGGUGUGGGAGCAGGGGAUGCCCGGCUUGGCUCGGCCCCGGCAGAGCCAGGCGCAGGUCCUGGCGCAGGUGCGGAGCCGCUGCCAGCGCUGCCGCCUGUGACUAAUCGGCCCCCACAAGGCUCAGGCUUGUUUAUUCCACUUAGAUUCUUCUGCUCCAUAUCAAAACACAACAGCCAGUGAUACUAAUUCAUCUUCAUUUUCUCAAAUAAAAAAACCAACAUGGCAACUCAGGCAAAUGUUUAUAUAAAAAAGCGUUUUUUAUCUCUUGAUACCUCUGUGACUGAAUUUUCCUUCAAGAAUAACAGAUGGCUUAACUGUACCAGGUAAAGACUUUGUAUGAGUUGGUGACAAAAAAAGGGUUGUACAGUGGGUUUUUUAUAACAUAAAUCUCCCCCAAACCCACUCCUGUAAACAGUAAUAAGAACAUGCAGGGCUUUUUAAUUGAACAUUAAACUCAGAAGCCCCAUUACAUUCACAGUACAGUAU